rnacentral:rRNA from 1 species
CGCCCUUUUCCGGUUGAUCCUGCCGGAGGUCACUGCUAUCGGGGUUCGACUAAGCCAUGCAAGUCGAGAGGGGUCAAGCCCUCGGCGUACUGCUCAGUAACACGUGGAUAACCUGCCCUGAGGAGGGGGAUAACCCCGGGAAACUGGGAAUAAUACCCCAUAGGCUACCGAGGCUGGAAUGCGCGGUAACCCAAAGCUCCGGCGCCUCAGGAUGGGUCUGCGGCCGAUUAGGUUGUUGUUGGGGUAACGGCCCAACAAGCCGGUAAUCGGUACGGGUUGUGGGAGCAAGAGCCCGGAGAUGGAUUCUGAGACAUGAAUCCAGGCCCUACGGGGCGCAGCAGGCGCGAAAACUUUACAAUGCGGGAAACCGUGAUAAGGGAACCCCGAGUGCCUGUAACCACAGGCUGUUCAGGUGUUUACAACGCAUCUGGAGAAGGGGCCGGGCAAGACCGGUGCCAGCCGCCGCGGUAAUACCGGCGGCUCGAGUGGUGGCCACUAUUACUGGGCUUAAAGCGUCCGUAGCCGGGUUGUGAAGUCUCUUGGGAAAUCCAGCGGCUUAACCGUUGGGCGUUCAAGGGAUACUGGCAAUCUAGGGACCGGGGGAGGUGAGAGGUACUCUAGGGGUAGGAGUGAAAUCCUGUAAUCCUUUGGGGACCACCUGUGGCGAAGGCGUCUCACCAGAACGGCUCCGACGGUGAGGGACGAAAGCUGGGGGAGCAAACCGGAUUAGAUACCCGGGUAGUCCCAGCUGUAAACGAUGCGCGUUAGGUGUAUCGGUGACUACGAGUCACCGACGUGCCGAAGAGGAAUCGUGAAACGUGCCGCCUGGGAAGUACGGUCGCAAGGCUGAAACUUAAAGGAAUUGGCGGG